AUUGAACGCUAGCGGUAGGCCUAACACAUGCAAGUCGAACGGCAGCACAGGAGAGCUUGCUCUCUGGGUGGCGAGUGGCGGACGGGUGAGGAAUACAUCGGAAUCUACUCUGUCGUGGGGGAUAGCGUAGGGAAACUUACGCUAAUACCGCAUACGACCUACGGGUGAAAGCAGGGGACCUUCGGGCCUUGCGCGAUUGAAUGAGCCGAUGUCGGAUUAGCUAGUUGGCGGGGUAAAGGCCCACCAAGGCGGCGAUCCGUAGCUGGUCUGAGAGGAUGAUCAGCCACACUGGAACUGGGACACGGUCCAGACUCCUACGGGAGGCAGCAGUGGGGAAUAUUGGACAAUGGGCGCAAGCCUGAUCCAGCCAUACCGCGUGGGUGAAGAAGGCCUUCGGGUUGUAAAGCCCUUUUGUUGGGAAAGAAAUCCAGCUGGCUAAUACCCGGUUGGGAUGACGGUACCCAAAGAAUAAGCACCGGCUAACUUCGUGCCAGCCGCCGCAGUAA
rnacentral:rRNA from 1 species